GUAAAUCCAAAGUAAUCAAGCAGUAGUACUUGAAAGUUUUGUUCUAUGUAGGUCAUAUAAGAAAUAUGUUUUUUUGAAUGUGCAAGUUCAAAUCAACCUCUGCAUUUUAUUUCAUAAUUCAUAAAUGUUCCAGGUACUUGAUUUAAGCAGUUUUAAAAACAUAAAGUAGUAUAAGUAAAACUCACAUUAUGAAGUAACUAUCAUUUGGAAAAUUUUUCUUUAAUUUAGCAUUCAUAAAAUGAAUAAUUUGAGAUGCAAUUGAAAAUUGUGUUAUUUUAAAGAACUCUGUAAUACAGCAAAGAAUUACCACCUGAUUUAUCUUUCAUGGAAACAUUUUCAUAUAGUUAAGCUCCUUAAAGUAAGUUUUACCUAUAGAAGCAUAAAUUCUAAGUUUAAAAGAUUGAUAGCAUAACUUUUAAAGCCCAUAGUUCAUAACUAUAUUAUAGAAAGCCUACCAUCCAAUAAUUAUUUGUCUUUUAAAAACAUAUUGAUAUUUAGGAAAUGUAUUGAAAAAUUAACUAAAAAGCUUAUUCUAUUAAAAUUUAAAAAUGUCAACUUUCAGUUUUUAUGGAGGGAUCUUAUAGCUCAGGAGAAGUAAUCCAGAAGUAGCUUUCCAUCUUUGUUUCUACAUCUAAUUGUCUAACUGACCCUUAUGAACUUAAUUACCUUUAAUAAAGAAAACUAAUUACAGGUGUUUGAGGUGCACCAACACAAACCCACCAUAACUCAACGGUUCUGAGAUGUGUUGAGAUGACCUUUAGGGAUGAAAAA
rnacentral:lncRNA from 1 species